rnacentral:rRNA from 1 species
UUUAAAGUCUAAUCUGCCCAAUGAGGAUUUAAAUGGCCGCGGUAUUUUGACCGUGCAAAGGUAGCAUAAUAAUUAGUUUUUUAAUUGAAAGCUGGAAUGAAUGAUUGAACGAGAAAGUAACUGUCUCAAUUUGAUUUAAUUAGAAUUUUAUUUUUAAGUAAGAAAGCUUAAAUUUUUUUAAAAGACGAGAAGACCCUAUAGAGUUUGAUAAUUUAGUUUAAAUUAAUUAUUUGGGAUAUUUUUAUUUAUUUAAAUUAAAUUAUUUUAUUGGGGUGAUAGAAAAAUUUAAUAAACUUUUUUUUUUUGAUUUUCAUUUAUUUAUGUUUGUUUGAUCCAUUAUUUAUGAUUAUAAGAUUAAAUUACCUUAGGGAUAACAGCGUAAUUUUUUUUUAGAGUUCUAAUCGAAAGAAAAGAUUGCGACCUCGAUGUUGGAUUAAAAUAAAUGUUUGGUGUAGGGGCUGAAUAAUUAGGUCUGUUCGACCUUUAAAAUUUUACA